rnacentral:tRNA from 1 species
AGUUAAUGAUCUUGACAAAGUUUAUAUUUUGAAAAUAUAAAAAAGAAAUACUUAAUUUUCUAUUAACUU